GACGAACGCUGGCGGCGUGCCUAAUACAUGCAAGUAGGACGCAGUUGCGAACGGGUUAGUAACGCGUAGGUAACUACCUAUUAGAGUGGGAUAACUAUUGGCAACGAUAGCUAAUACCGCCUACUAGUAGAUGGACCUGCGUUGUAUUAGCUAGUAGGUAGGGUAAUGGCCUACCUAGGCAACGAUACAUAGCCGAACUGGGAGGGUGAUCGGGCACACUGGGACUGGGACACGGCCCAGACUCCUACGGGGAGCAGCAGGAGGGGAGAUGCGGAAAUGGGAGGAACCGUGACCGAGCAACGCCGAGGGAGUGAAGAGGGUUAUCGGGUCGUGAAGCUUUGUUGGUAAGGAAGCGGUACUUAACGAGAAAGGAACGGCUAACUACGUGCCAGCAGCCGCGGUAAUAC
rnacentral:rRNA from 1 species